CCAGGAUUGGCUUCGAAGGUAAUUUGCCGUGGUGCCGGCAGUGCAUCUUUCUGGAUCACCUCGCCGCUCCUGCUUAUGCUGAAAGACCUCAGGCAUUGCAGCUUGAACUCUUCCAUGGCUUGGGCAAUAGCCUGCUUCUGCUCAUCCUUGAGAUUGGCCUCCGUCACGGGGAUGACGUUCUCCUGAUCGAGGUCAGAGAUCGACAUGUUGAUCUUGAUCUUGAAUCUGGUCCCACCGGGCGUGCCAAAAGAUGUGUUGAUGCAAAGAUUGAUCUGCAAAC
rnacentral:lncRNA from 1 species